rnacentral:rRNA from 1 species
ACGCUCGACAGUGCCAGCCGCCGCGGUAAUACGUAGGGUGCAAGCGUUAAUCGGAAUUACUGGGCGUAAAGCGUGCGCAGGCGGUUAUGCAAGACAGAUGUGAAAUCCCCGGGCUCAACCUGGGAACUGCAUUUGUGACUGCAUAGCUAGAGUACGGUAGAGGGGGAUGGAAUUCCGCGUGUAGCAGUGAAAUGCGUAGAUAUGCGGAGGAACAUCGAUGGCGAAGGCAAUCCCCUGGACCUGUACUGACGCUCAUGCACGAAAGCGUGGGGAGCAAACAGGAUUAGAUACCCUGGUAGUCCACGCCCUAAACGAUGUCAACUGGUUGUUGGGAGGGUUUCUUCUCAGUAACGUAGCUAACGCGUGAAGUUGACCGCCUGGGGAUACGGCCGCAAGGUUGAAACUUAAAUGAAUUGGCGGG